AGCUGAAUGAUGAUCAUCAAGGGACUUAAUACUGAUCAUGUAUGAUGUCACCUUUUGAACUAUCUGACAC
ensembl:snoRNA SNORD82 Small nucleolar RNA SNORD82